GAAAAUGAUGACAGUUAUUGUCGCCCCAGUCUUAAGUUGCAUCCAAUUUUUUGGAUUUGCAAGGUGGUGAUUGACACAUCAUAUCUGAUUU
rnacentral:snoRNA from 2 species